GAGUUGGUUGGACGUGGCGGAGGCUUUCUGCUUCAAGAUCCGUGACUGCUGCAGCGGCACCCGCAACUUUGCCCCGGCCAGCACCGUAGGUUACUGCGAUGGCUGCUGUCUGCUCGAUGGCUCAGGCAGCACGUACCGCUAUGGAGUCUGAGGCAUCUACAUCAUCGGCGGCCGCAACCUCGGCAGUAACGAAGCGUGGUCGUCCGCGCCAGUACACCGCAGACAAGCAAUCCACACUCAUUGCACCAAGGACGAGCCCAGGGACGUGCCCGGUCGGCUACCGUACGCUUGGGCAGGGGGAAGGGAGAAGAAUAGGCUGAGCGCAAAUGAUGGAAUGCAUCCCAGUUCAAUGCGUUACAGCACUACACCUGCGACGCGACUCAAGCUUGGAACUGCGGCACAUUCUCGGCCCGUGGCAAAGCACCACCUGCGGAAAUCGCUGCUGCCGUUCUUGCGAGCCACGAGCCUUAAAGAAACUUUGAAAAUACCUCUGUAGUGCAUAUGUGUGUGUGUGACUGUAGGUGCUGUUAAGUUUUUAUCAGUGUAUAUAUCAUAAUCACCACUCAGGACCUAUAGUAGCAUG